rnacentral:rRNA from 1 species
AUUGAACGCUGGCGGCAGGCCUAACACAUGUAAGUCGAGCGCGCGGCGGACGGGUGAGUAAUGUAUGGGGACUGCCCGAUAGAGGGGGAUAACUACUCGAAAGAGUGGCUAAUACCGCAUACUACUGGAGGGCCGAUAUCGGAUUAGCUAGUAGGUGAGGGAAUGGCUCACCUAGGCGACGAUCCCUAGCUGGUCUGAGAGGAUGAUCAGCCACACUGGUACUGAGACACGGCCCAGACUCCUACGGAGGCAGCAGUGGGGAAUAUUGCACAAUGGGCGCAAGCCUGAUGCAGCCAUGCCGCGUGUAUGAAGAAGGCCCUCGGGUUGUAAAGUACUUUCAGUCGGGAGGCGUUACCGACAGAAGAAGCACCGGCUAACUCCGUGCCAGCAGCCGCGGUAAUAC